rnacentral:rRNA from 1 species
GACAGAGGGUGCAAACGUUGUUCGGAAUUACUGGGCAUAAAGGGCACGUAGGUGGUUCGCUAAGUUACGUGUGAAAUCCCCCGGCUCAACCGGGGAAUUGCGCGUGAUACUGGCGGACUCGAGGCGGGUAGGGGUGAGCGGAACUCCAGGUGGAGCGGUGAAAUGCGCAGAUAUCAGGAGGAACACCGAUGGCGAAGGCAGGUCUCUGGGCAUUAACUGACGCUGAGGAGCGAAAGCAUGGGGAGCGAACAGG